CUCCAGUCAGUGUCAGAGCUUGUGACAGUGGCGCCGCCAGGUGGGCUCUGAGGGCUGUCACAGGAGCUGUGGGUGUCACAGGAGGCGUGGGUGGCGUCAGAUAGGACUGGAAGUGCUGGGGGGAGGGCUGUCUAGGGCCUCCGCCCUGAGGCCUGACUGAGCCACCUCAUGCCGCCCGCCAUCUCCCGCACCCGAGAAACCCUACUAGGGAAGAUGAGGUGCCCCGGGCGGAAUGACCAUCCUCCCAAGAUGUCGGUUCCGGUAGAGACUCUCCCAAGGCACCAACCACCUGGUUUGACGAAAGUCACCGAAGAACCUUGGAAAGCCUGCCUCUUCUCGGACUGGCAUGCCCACAUAGACUCAGGAGUUACUGGGGCCAAGCAACAGGUGGCAAGGAAUCUCUGUGUGGCCCUGAAAGGGCAGGAGGCCUUUUGAAACCAUGUGUGAAGCUGUGAACCUAAAGCCUGCAUUGCGGUGGAGAGCUCAAGAUGCUGAAGAUACCAGAACCAUGAGACAUCUGCCAAGGACAGCUGUGUACAAGGAGUGGAACCAGCACAAGAGGGAGAUGUAAAUUGCAGGCAGCAAAGCUGGAGAGAGCUAGGUUAUCUAACCCUUUGCACCUAAAGUUCCAGACAUUAAACAUGGAGCUAUAGGAGUUGGUGUUUGCCCUAUUGGGUUUUAGUCUUGCUUUGGUCAAGUAUCUCCACAAUCUGGCCCCCAUUCCUCCUUUAAAGAACAGGACUAUAGAAGGACACAAGGUUACUUUGGCGAGUGACAACAAUGUCUACUAUAUUGGCUAAGAUGAUGUCUCACAAAUGUAUCUACGUAAAAAAAAAAAAGAACAGGACUAUAUAGUCUGCCAUUUUAUGUUGGAAAUAUAUACUUGCUUUUUAUUUUACAGGGAGGUACAGUUAAGAGAUUGCCUUGAGUCUCAGAAGAAACUUUGCUUUUAAAUAAUGAUUGCACUGUAAAAGACUAGAGAGACUUUUAUAGUAGGACUAAGUGCAUUUUGCAUUAUGAUAUGGCCAUGAGACUAUAGGGACAAGGAAGUGGAAUGUGGUGGUUUAAAUGAGAAAUGUUCCCCCAUGGACUCAGGUAUUUGAAUAAUUGGUCCCCAAUUGAUGGUGCUGUUUGAGGGGAUGUUAUGAAAUCUUUAUAUGGUGUGACCUUGGUGGAGGAUGUAUGUCCCUGGGGGCAGGCUUUGAGAACUUAAAGCUUCACCUGACAUCCGGUUCACUCUCUGCUUUGUGUUUGCAGAUGAGAAUGUGAUCUCUCAGCUUCCUGCUCUGGCCAAUUGCUGACAUGCCUUUCUCACCAGUAUGGAUGAUCCCUCUAGAACCAUAAGCUCAAAUAAACUCUUCCUUCUAUAA